CGGCACGGGUGAGUAACGCGUGGAUAAUCUACCCUUAAGAUGGGGAUAACGGCUGGAAACGGUCGCUAAUACCGAAUACGCUCCCGAUUUUAUCGUUGGGGGGAAAGAUGGCCUCUGCUUGCAAGCUAUCGCUUAAGGAUGAGUCCGCGUCCCAUUAGCUAGUUGGCGGGGUAACGGCCCACCAAGGCGACGAUGGGUAGCCGGUCUGAGAGGAUGACCGGCCACACUGGAACUGGAACACGGUCCAG
rnacentral:rRNA from 1 species